rnacentral:rRNA from 1 species
CUACGGGGGGCUGCAGUGAGGAAUAUUGCGCAAUGGGCGAAAGCCUGACGCAGCGACGCCGCGUGGAGGAUGAAGGUUUUCGGAUCGUAAACUCCUGUUAAGUGAGAAGAAAGCCCUGCCUCUAAUAUAGGCAGGGGAUGACGGUAUCAUUAGAGAAAGCACCGGCUAACUUCGUGCCAGCAGCCGCGGUAAUACGGGGGUGGCAAGCGUUAUUCGGAAUCAUUGGGCGUAAAGGGUGCGUAGACGGUAUGUUAAGUCAACUGUUAAAUCCUCCAGCCUAACUGGAGAUCAGCGGUAGAUACUGGCGUACUAGAGGGCGGAAGAGAGAAGUGGAAUUCUCGGAGUAGCGGUAAAAUGCGUAGAUCUCGAGAGGAACACCAAUGGCGAAGGCAGCUUCUUGGUCCGCUCCUGACGUUGAGGCACGAAAGCGUGGGUAGCAAACAGGAUUAGAUACCCCCGUAGUC